rnacentral:rRNA from 1 species
UGGGGAAUAUUGGGCAAUGGGCGCAAGCCUGACCCAGCAACGCCGCGUGAAGGAAGAAGGCUUUCGGGUUGUAAACUUCUUUUAAGAGGGAAGAGCAGAAGACGGUACCUCUUGAAUAAGCCACGGCUAACUACGUGCCAGCAGCCGCGGUAAUACGUAGGUGGCAAGCGUUGUCCGGAUUUACUGGGUGUAAAGGGCGUGCAGCCGGGAAGACAAGUCAGAUGUGAAAUCCCGCGGCUCAACCGCGGAACUGCAUUUGAAACUGUUUUUCUUGAGUACCGGAGAGGUCAUCGGAAUUCCUUGUGUAGCGGUGAAAUGCGUAGAUAUAAGGAAGAACACCAGUGGCGAAGGCGGAUGACUGGACGGCAACUGACGGUGAGGCGCGAAAGCGUGGGGAGCA